GGGACGGCUGACAAAUGAAGCGACCCUUCGUGGUGUGCAGAUGUCAUGAGAUUAGGUUCGCCAUGCAUGGUUAAUAAAUUCGAAUCGAUUCAUCUACCUCUCACAGUUUGGGACUGCUUGAUCGCUAUUGUGCAUUGAGUAAAGAUGUGAUUAUACUAAUUUGAUGCUUGUUCUUUAAUUGCUUGGAACUAUGCUUGCUUAGUAUAAGUUGCUAAUCUAGACUGGUUAAAGAAUGUAGAACUUGAGCUAAAAUAUUGAAAAUAAGGACCUACUUUAGAUGCUUUUGGCAAAGCAAACCCAGAGCCAGAAAGCCU
rnacentral:lncRNA from 1 species